rnacentral:rRNA from 1 species
AGUGAACGCUGGCGGUAGGCCUAACACAUGCAAGUCGAACGGCAGCACAGUAAGAGCUUGCUCUUACGGGUGGCGAGUGGCGGACGAGUGAGGAAUACAUCGGAAUCUACUUUUUCGUGGGGGAUAACGUAGGGAAACUUACGCUAAUACCGCAUACGACCUACGGGUGAAAGCAGGGGAUCUUCGGACCUUGCGCGAUUGAAUGAGCCGAUGUCGGAUUAGCUAGUUGGCGGGGUAAAGGCCCACCAAGGCGACGAUCCGUAGCUGGUCUGAGAGGAUGAUCAGCCACACUGGAACUGAGACACGGUCCAGACCCCUACGGGAGGCAGCAGUGGGGAAUAUUGGAAAAGGGGCGAAAGCCUGAUCCAGCCAUACCGCGUGGGUGAAGAAGGCCUUCGGGUUGUAAAGCCCUUUUGUUGGGAAAGAAAAGAAGCAGGUUAAAACCCCGCUGUUCUGACGGUACCAAAAAAAAAAACACCGGCAAACUUCGU